GCCCGCAUGGUGGAACUGGUAGACACGCAAGACUUAAAAUCUUGUGACCUUUUUGGUCGUGCCGGUUCGAUUCCGGCUGCGGGCACCA
rnacentral:tRNA from 1 species